GAUGAACGCUAGCGGCAGGCUUAACACAUGCAAGUCGAGGGGUAACAGGGGAGAGCUUGCUUUCCCGCUGACGACCGGCGAACGGGUGCGUAACACGUAUGCAACCUACCCUUCACAGGAGGACAGCCCCGAGAAAUCGGGAUUAAUACUCCAUAACAUCACGGAUUCGCAUGUUUCUGUGAUCAAAGUUCCGGCGGUGAAGGAUGGGCAUGCGGCCUAUUAGUUUGUUGGUGAGGUAACGGCUCACCAAGACUACGAUAGGUAGGGGGUCUGAGAGGAUGAUCCCCCACACUGGUACUGAGACACGGACCAGACUCCUACGGGAGGCAGCAGUGAGGAAUAUUGGUCAAUGGACGAAAGUCUGAACCAGCCAUGCCGCGUGCAGGAAGACUGCCCUACGGGUUGUAAACUGCUUUUAUGUGGGAAUAAACCCCUGGAUUCUUCCGGGGCUGAAGGUACCACACGAAUAAGGAUCGGCUAACUCCGUGCCAGCCGCCGCCGUAACAC
rnacentral:rRNA from 1 species